UCUGGAUCCAGGAAUUCCAACACCCCUGCCAUGUGUGGUUCUCAUAUUGGCUGCAUCUCUAAUAUCUCUAAUUGUGUUGUGCCGGCCUUUUUUUUUUUUUUUAGUGUGCUUUGCAAUUUAUUUCUUGAGAGCCAGUCAGGAUGUAGUGAGUAAAGCAAGUAUUUAAACGGGCAGUUAGCACUGUGGUGGUAAGGUGUAGGGGGAAGAGAGUUGUAGUUAGAACUCAGGUGUUUUAGGUGCGGCUGUGCUACUGUGAGCAUUUACACAUGUUUCUCAGUUGUUUUCGCCGCUCAGGUGAGGCAGGUGGCCAGCUCCGGCUUGAUUUAGGUAUUUCCUCCUUCCAGGUCAAUUAGGCUCUGAUUGAAUCCCAUAGGUUAGGCUUAGGUUAAUGAGCUUCUGGUGAGCUACGCCUUCUUAAGGAGACAAACGCUGUGGUAUACGUCAAAAUGGUUCCUCUUCUCCAAAGGUGAAAACGCGGAAGGUUUGAUUAUCUUAUAUUUCAUGAUAGAACUUUUCGAGCUCUUGGAAGUAAAACUGAGAAAAGCGUUGGGGAGUCUGCUAUGACUAGCUUCCCAUGAGGAUUUUGACGGGCUGCGUGGCUCCCAUGGAGUCGCCAGUAAAUCGUCAGUUGCAGUACUGACGUUCCUGCUCCAGCACUGGUUCUGGAGGAGGUUGGAUGUUGCGAUACUCCGUAUUCGCCCAGCUUUGUGGUUUCAAGGGGUAGUUUGGUUCUCCAGGUCUAAGUGCAGUUGUUGGUUUUUCAGUGUAUUUGGCUCUUAGUUUCUAGGACGAAUGGCAAAAUCUGAGCUCAUUGUACACAGAACUGGAAAAAAUGAUACGUCGUAUUUUUCAUAUUUCUAUCUUAGAAGACAAAAUGUUCAUUUUUGAGCUGUUCAUGUAUUUGUUUUUUUCAAAACAGACCAGUGUGAAUAUCUGGGAGCAAAUCAAGAUAAAUUGCUUGUAAGAAUCCUGUGUCUCAAGGUCUACCACUGAAGAGCUCCAACUAAGAUAAAAAUUAACUGAGUACAUUAUUCCAUAUGGAAGUACUUCAAAAAGAUCAUGGAGAAAUGGAGUUAAAAGGUAAAUUUAUUUCUGGUGCAAAAUUUCUUUUUGAGAUCCAAGCAUAAGUUUUAGUAGUACAUGCUUCCAUGAACUUUUUGAAAUAUUCUCAUAUAAUGCCAACAUAUCUGACUUAAACUCUUGCAUUCCAUAGACACUAUCCC
rnacentral:lncRNA from 1 species